rnacentral:misc_RNA from 1 species
CUGAGUGAGGGCCCUCUGGGUCCAACCUCCCACCCGUGUUUAUUGUACCUUGUUGCUUCGGUGCGCCCGCCUCACGGCCGCCGGGGGGCUUCUGCCCCCGGGUCCGCGCGCACCGGAGACACUAUUGAACUCUGUCUGAAGAUUGCAGUCUGAGCAUAAACUAAAUAAGUUA